rnacentral:rRNA from 1 species
UACGUAGGGAGCAAGCGUUGUUCGGAUUUACUGGGCGUAAAGGGCGCGUAGGCGGCAAUUCAAGUCACUUGUGAAAUCUCCGGGCUUAACUCGGAACGGUCAAGUGAUACUGCUUUGCUAGAGUGCGGAAGGGGCAAUCGGAAUUCUCGGUGUAGCGGUGAAAUGCGUAGAUAUCGAGAGGAACACCUGAGGUGAAGACGGGUUGCUGGGCCGACACUGGCGCUGACAGCGCGAAAGCCAGGGGAGCAAACGGG